CUCCUACGGGAGGCAGCAGUAGGGAAUCUUUCACAAUGGGCGAAAGCCUGAUGGAGCAACGCCGCGUGCAGGAUGAAGGCCUUCGGGUUGUAAACUGCUUUUAUAAGCGAGAAAUAUGAUGGUAACUUAUGAAUAAGCACCGGCUAACUCCGUGCCAGCAGCCGCGGUAAUACGGAGGGUGCAAGCGUUACUCGGAAUCACUGGGCGUAAAGAGUGCGUAGGCGGGGUAAUAAGUCGGAUGUGAAAUCUUGUAGCUUAACUACAGAACUGCAUUUGAAACUGUUACUCUGGAGUGUGGGAGGGGG
rnacentral:rRNA from 1 species